UACGUAGGGGGGCAAGCGUUGUCCGGAAUCAUUGGGCGUAAAGAGCGUGUAGGCGGCCCGAUAAGUCCGCUGUGAAAGUCCAGGGCUCAACCCUGGGAUGCCGGUGGAUACUGUCGGGCUCGAGUCCGGAAGAGGAGUGUGGAAUUCCGUGGUGUAGCGGUGAAAUGCGCAGAUAUCAGGAGGAACACCAAUGGCGAAGGCAGCACUCUGGGACGUGACUGACGCUGAGACGCGAAAGCGUGGGGAGCAAACAGG
rnacentral:rRNA from 1 species